rnacentral:rRNA from 1 species
UACGUAGGCAGCGAGCGUUGUUCGGAAUCAUUGGGCGUAAAGCGCGUGUAGGCGGUUCGGUAAGUCCGCUGUGAAAGUCGGGGGCUCAACCCUCGGAUGCCGGUGGAUACUGUCGGACUAGAGUGCGGAAGAGGCGAGUGGAAUUCCUGGUGUAGCGGUGAAAUGCGCAGAUAUCAGGAGGAACACCGAUUGCGAAGGCAGCUCGCUGGGACGUUACUGACGCUGAGACGCGAAAGCGUGGGGAGCAAACAGG